rfam:Canis lupus familiaris chromosome 28, whole genome shotgun sequence.
GCCUGGGUGGCUCAGUAGUUGAGCAUCUGCCUUUGGCUCAGGUCAUGAUCCCGGGGUCCUGGGAUCGAGUCCCACAUCAGGCU